AUUGAACGCUGGCGGCAUGCCUUACACAUGCAAGUCGAACGGCAGCACGGGAGCAAUCCUGGUGGCGAGUGGCGAACGGGUGAGUAAUAUAUCGGAACGUGCCCAGUCGUGGGGGAUAACGUAGCGAAAGCUACGCUAAUACCGCAUACGAUCUAUGGAUGAAAGCGGGGGAUCGCAAGACCUCGCGCGAUUGGAGCGGCCGAUAUCAGAUUAGGUAGUUGGUGAGGUAAAGGCUCACCAAGCCGACGAUCUGUAGCUGGUCUGAGAGGACGACCAGCCACACUGGGACUGAGACACGGCCCAGACUCCUACGGGAGGCAGCAGUGGGGAAUUUUUGGGACAAUGGGCGCAAGCCUGAUCC
rnacentral:rRNA from 1 species